UACGAAGGGGGCUAGCGUUGCUCGGAAUCACUGGGCGUAAAGGGUGCGUAGGCGGGUUUUUAAGUCAGGGGUGAAAUCCUGGAGCUCAACUCCAGAACUGCCUUUGAUACUGAAGAUCUUGAGUCCGGGAGAGGUGAGUGGAACUGCGAGUGUAGAGGUGAAAUGCGUAGAUAUCUGGAGGAACACCGGUGGCGAAGGCGGCAUCCUGGACCAACACUGACGCUGAGUGAGCGAAAGCCAGGGGAGCAAACGGG
rnacentral:rRNA from 1 species